rnacentral:rRNA from 1 species
UACGGAGGGUGCAAGCGUUAAUCGGAAUUACUGGGCGUAAAGCGUGCGUAGGCGGUGAGUGAAGUCUGCUGUGAAAUCCCUGGGCUCAACCUGGGAAUGGCGGUGGAUACUGGCUUGCUAGAGUACGGUAGAGGAAGGUGGAAUUCCCGGUGUAGCGGUGAAAUGCGUAGAGAUCGGGAGGAACAUCAGUGGCGAAGGCGACCUUCUGGACCAGUACUGACGCUGAGGCACGGAAGCGUGGGGGGAGCAAACAGGAUUAGAUAUCCUGGUAGUCCACGCCCUAAACGAUGCGAACUGGAGGUUGGGUGCAACUUGGCACGCAGUCUCGAAGCUAACGCGUUAAGUUCGCCGCCUGGGGAGUACGGUCGCAAGACUGAAACU